rnacentral:rRNA from 1 species
UACGGAGGGGGCUAGCGUUAUUCGGAAUUACUGGGCGUAAAGCGCACGUAGGCGGACUUGAAAGUUGGGGGUGAAAGCCCAGGGCUCAACCCUGGAACUGCCCUCAAAACUCCAGGUCUUGAGGUCGAGAGAGGUGAGUGGAAUUCCGAGUGUAGAGGUGAAAUUCGUAGAUAUUCGGAGGAACACCAGUGGCGAAGGCGGCUCACUGGCUCGAUACUGACGCUGAGGUGCGAAAGCGUGGGGAGCAAACAGG